CUGCCAUAUGAAGCAUAUAAUUGCCAUAGGUGUCAUAGGAGCUUGGAAAUAAAGGCUUGAGAGUAAGACCAUGAAAAAGAUUGUAAACACUUGCUUGGCGAUACUGAACAGCAACAGAAAAUAUGCGCCUUUCAUCUUUGGUCCAUGUCCACAAAAGGCUAAAUUGCGCCUUUAAUGCUUCAACAAUAAAUGUGGCAUUCCCUCGUUGUGCUGCCAUAAGUAUCGCCCCCUCCAUUCCACUUUUUGAGAUUUCUUCUAUAUUUUCCGGAGAAAUUGCAUUGCACGCAGCACGUAGCAACACACGAGAUUGCUCAUCACUUAACUUUGCUUCGUAUAUUUCCUUCAUUAUUCCUAUGGUUUACAAACA